CACCACGCCUGUCCAACCUGCACUUUUCCUCCUGUUUACUCUGUGCAGCAACUUUUACACGCGCAGAUAAACCAGACCUACUGUGACCCUAUACUGGCUGGAAUAAGACCCAGAAGAAACUGUAGUUCCUGCAGCAACUCAAGAAGAACAACCUGCCCAAGGAGCUGCUGGUCAUCUUCUACACCAUCAUUCAGUCCAUCCUGUGUUUGUCGAUCACUGUGUGGUUUGGCUCACUCACAAAACAAGACAGGACCAGACAAUAUGUCUGCACAGAAGGUCAUCAGUGCUGACUUUUCCCUUCACACGGAAUUUCUACAGUCCUAGGGUCAGGAAAAUGGCAACCAAUAUAUCUGUAUACCCCACACAUCCUGGACACAGAGUGUUUGGACUCUAGAGAGCACUGCUUGCAAAAACAGGCUACCACUUAACACAAAUGACAUAAAGAUCGCAAAGCUGAUUUAUCAGGAAUAAUUGCUAUUGCUAAAAAUGCUAUGUCUCAUAAAAUGACCAGAACUUAAUGGCAAUUAAAAGCUGCCCACUAUUUUAAACACUUUGGAGAUGUAAAGAGCACGGACACAGUCUGAACUUAAUGUACACUUAUCUUUGCUUAAAUGUGUGCAACAUUGCAAGUUUAUUUUUUACCAUUUCAUUCCAAUAUAAUAACCUAAUGUAUGAUGAUCGCAAAAAAUCCUCUUUUGAUCACAACAAAGAUUCAACUUGAAUCAGAGGCAGCUGCUAAGUCUUCAGGUCAGUUUGUGUCUUUUCUAAUUAUUACCCCCAUUUAAUGUUCAUGUGCUGCCAAACUUCAAACAUUUCAUAGCUGUUUAAUUAACUGUUACAGAUAAGUUCAUCUCUCUUGGAAGCCAAAUAUUUUUGAUAAAUUACAGCGGCAAUAAUCAUUAUUUUCACAACAUUUAUUCAACAUUUGUAUUACUUAUGAAUCCAGGAUCCCUUUGAGCAACUUGAUUUAUGAAAUAUGAAAGUUUAUAUUGUUAAAUAAUACCUUUAUUGAAAUAAAAAAAGCAUUUCCUUGCAGGACUACAUGUUCUACUUUAAGUUGCUGGUUGCACAAGGAGGUCAAAACUUCUCCUGUGUCAGUACAAAUUCUUGCACAGCCGGUAUGAAAAAAG